rnacentral:rRNA from 1 species
GUGCUCGAGUGGCGAACGGGUGAGUAACACGUGAGUAACCUGCCCUUGACUUUGGGAUAACUUCAGGAAACUGGGGCUAAUACCGGAUAGGAGCUCCUGCUGCAUGGUGGGGGUUGGAAAGUUUCGGCGGUUGGGGAUGGACUCGCGGCUUAUCAGCUUGUUGGUGGGGUAAUGGCCUACCAAGGCGGCGACGGGUAGCCGGCCUGAGAGGGUGGACGGCCACAUUGGGACUGAGAUACGGCCCAG